CACGUAGGGCGCAAGCGUUGUCCGGAAUUAUUGGGCGUAAAGAGCUCGUAGGCGGACUGUUGCGUCCGCUGUGAAAAGCUGGGGCUUAACCCUGGCCUUGCAGUGGAUACGGGCAGACUAGAGGUAGGUAGGGGAGAAUGGAAUUCCCGGUGUAGCGGUGAAAUGCGCAGAUAUCAGGAGGAACACCGGUGGCGAAGGCGGGUCUCUGGGCAGUAACUGACGCUGAGGAACGAAAGCGUGGGUAGCGAACAGG
rnacentral:rRNA from 1 species